CAUGGGGUUGCAGAGUCAGACAUGACUGAGCAACUGAACUGAACUGACUGAGGAUAUAAAUUCUCCUUUUACUCAAGAUGGAUUCUCAUCGGCUCAGAGAUGCAACAGAGAAACCUGUAAACAAACCUCAUUCCCUUACUUUCCUCCCGUAUAUUUACCUUCCCUCAGUUUGGAAGACUAAAACUGCUCUGUCUUAUUAUUUGUCUACAGAUGAAUCAUCCUCUGUUGAAGGUACUCUAUAAUCUGGAAUUCUAAACCGCCAUCUUGAGUUACUUUUUGUUUAGGCUAGCCUAUGUGUGCUGCAUGUAUUAAUAACUGACUUGGUUUUCUCUAGUUCAUCUGUUUUGUUGCGGUUGUUACUGUUGUUACAGGGGUCUCAGCCAAGAACUCACAGGGUAGAGGGAAAAUUAUGAUGUUUCCUUGCCUACACCUGUGAACACUCCUGAGAUUCUGGAAUGAGCCUGAGUGGUGGUCCAGGCAGAAAUGUCAGCUGAGGAGCUGUUAAUGUAAAGCUGUAAUUGAACCAUGAGGAUGGGCUCCUUGAGAAACCAUGGAAAGAAAAGAGGGCUAGUGACUGCAUCUUAGCAAAACCUGAGGGAGUGCUUUCAUGAGAAAAGUGGUUGGCAGGAGAAAGAAAAUCAGGAAUGUCAUGAUCCAAAAGGCAGAGAAGAGAGGAUUUGGAAAGAGGCAGAGUUGGAAGCAGGGCAACAGAGAUCAACAUUUGAGUGAUAGAAUUUUGAUGAAGCUUCCCCUAAAUAUUAUAAAAGAGCCAAUUCUGAACACUUGAAACCAGGUAAGUAAUGAAUAUGGUGGAGCUUAUGAUCUCAUAUAUUAACAUACAGAUUGAAUAAUUCACUUUAGGGACUUCCCUGGUACUCCCAAUGAAGGGGACCUAGGUUCAGUCCCUGGUCGGGGAGCUAGAUCUCACAUGCCCCGGCUAAGAAUUCAUAUACGGCAACUAAAGAUCCUGCAUACUGCCACUAAAAAGAUCCUGAGUGCUGCAAUUAAGACCUGGCACAGUCAAAUAAAUCAUAUUAAAUAAAUAAGUAACUUGCCAGAUCUCCUGUGGAUACUCUUAUUCCCUCUUUCCUCUUCUCAACACCCCGGUGAGCCCUCAGGUACAUUUGCUAACUCUCUGAAUCACCCACAAAAGCUUAGUUAUUUCCUGUUUUUCAAAUAUUUAAGUAUUAUUAUUUUAUUGA
rnacentral:lncRNA from 1 species